GACAGAGGGUGCGAACGUUGCUCGGAAUUAUUGGGCGUAAAGGGCGUGUAGGCGGCUUCGUAAGUCUUGUGUGAAAGCCCUCGGCUCAACCGAGGAAUUGCACGAGAAACUGCGUGGCUCGAGUCCGGGAGAGGAUAGUGGAAUUCCCAGUGUAGCGGUGAAAUGCGUAGAUAUUGGGAGGAACACCGGUGGCGAAGGCGGCUAUCUGGACCGGUACUGACGCUGAUACGCGAAAGCCAGGGGAGCAAACGGG
rnacentral:rRNA from 1 species